AGAGCAGAGAGGACGACAGAGAACAGUGGACACACAGUUGAACAUGAUGGACUAUAGGACAGGACUGCUGCUUUUUACUGUCUGCUGGGCAGGUGAUGAUCAUCACUCAUCUUUACUCUAAAAAGUGUUCUGAAAGUGUCACAUCUGAUGGUUUUCUUUUCUGUCUCUUCAGGUGUUGAUGGUCAGACUCUGACAGAAUCUGAACCAGUGGUUAAAAGGCCUGGAGAAUCCCACAGACUGACCUGUUCAGCAUCUGGAUUCACAUUCAGCAGCUACUAUAUGAGCUGGGUCAGACAGGCUCCUGGAAAAGGACUGGAGUGGAUCUCUUUCAUAAACGCAUACAGUGAAUACAAAAAAUACUACUCUCAGUCAGUUACAGGCCGGUUCACCGCCUCCAGAGACAACAGCAGACAGCAGGUGUAUCUGCAGAUGAACAGUCUGAAGACUGAAGAUUCUGCUGUUUAUUAUUGUGCCAGAGACCCACAGUGACACAGGAGGAAGUAUCGCUGUACAAAAACUCAACAUGUCAUACAGUACUCUCUCUGUGUUUCAUUUAUAGAAUAAGCUUCAGUUUGAUGUGAAAAAAAUAAAGUUUCAGUUCUUGUGCAUCUCUGGUAUUCUUCCACAUGUUGUUAAAGUAGACUGAUAAAAUCUCAUAUUUAGUGGAUCUGACUGUUAACGUGAAUCUUCUUGUUUGAAGCAGCUUGUCCUUGUAACUUUUAAUUAAGGGCAUGUGUCGUCCCCACAACGACAGCCUGACGCCCAGCCUCCACCAUCCGACUGUGUCGACCCUACAACCACCGCCGUCCACAUUCAUGCUCAGCCUGCUCCGACCUCCACCUCAGCGGCAAGGAAGUGUGGACAACAGGAACGCGAGGAAUACAAAGGAGAAAUCCUUCCUGCAUAUCAUCUCAUAUGCUCUUUUGUAAAGCGUCUUGAGAUAACAACUGUAAUGAAUUGAUGCUAUUCAAAUAAUGAUUGAUUGGUUGACUGAAUGUGUCUAUCUCUCCUUAAUUGCUAAAAAGAGUGAUUUUAACACCUAUCGAAAUGAUGUGUGACAAAACUGAAGUUUUAAUGAAGGGAAACAUCUUUACAAUU